rnacentral:RNase_P_RNA from 1 species
CAACUCUGCCGAACGGCCGCGCGGCAUGGUGCCGAAAGGUAUUGCCGUGAGGAAAGUCCGGGCUUCACAGGGCAGGAUAGCUGAUAACGUCAGCCGCAGGUGACUGCCGGGAAAGUGCAACAGAAAUAAACCGCCGGGCCCUGCCCGGUAAGGGUGGAAAGGUGAGGUAAGAGCUCACCCGUUCCUAUGGUAACAUAGGUCCGCUGUAAACCCUAUCCGAAGCAACACCGCAUGGGGAUUUUGGCUGGCCCGGCCCAUGUCCCCGGGUGGCACGGGAGAAAUCCCGGAGCGCAGUGGCGACACUGCGCACAGACAGAUGGCCGUUUUCAACAGAACCCGGCUUACAGGCAGAGUUGUGGU